rnacentral:rRNA from 1 species
UACGAGAGGCCCAAACGUUAUUCGGAAUUACUGGGCUUAAAGAGUUCGUAGGCGGCGCGGAAAGUAGGGUGUGAAAGCCCUCGGCUCAACCGAGGAAUUGCGCUCUAAACUACCGUGCUUGAGGAAGCUAGAGGUGAGCGGAACUGAUGGUGGAAGCGGUGAAAUGCGUUGAUAUCAUCAGGAACACCGGAGGCGAAGGCGGCUCACUGGGGCUUUUCUGACGCUGAGGAACGAAAGCCAGGGGAGCGAACGGG